AACGAACGCUGGCGGCAUGCCUAACACAUGCAAGUCGAACGAGACCUUCGGGUCUAGUGGCGCACGGGUGCGUAACGCGUGGGAACCUGCCCUUAGGUUCGGAAUAACUCCCCGAAAGGGGUGCUAAUACCGGAUAAUGUCUUCGGACCAAAGAUUUAUCGCCUUUGGAUGGGCCCGCGUUGGAUUAGCUAGUUGGUAGGGUAAAAGCCUACCAAGGCGACGAUCCAUAGCUGGUCUGAGAGGAUGAGCAGCCACACUGGGACUGAGACACGGCCCAGACUCCUACGGGAGGCAGCAGUGGGGAAUAUAGGACAAUGGGCGAAAGCCUGAUCCAGCAAGGCCGCGUGAGUGAUGAAGGCCUUAGGGUUGUAAAGCUCUUUUACCCGGGAUGAUAAUGACAGUACCGGGAGAAUAAGCUCCGGCUAACUCCGUG
rnacentral:rRNA from 1 species